rnacentral:rRNA from 1 species
CGUCUCGAACCUACCACCCUGAACGCGCCCGAUCUCGUCUGAUCUCGGAAGCUAAGCAGGGUCGGGCCUGGUUAAUACUUGGAAGAGAGGC